rnacentral:rRNA from 1 species
AACUACGCGAAAGCGUAGCUAAUACCGCAUACGCCCUACGGGGGAAAGCAGGGGAUCGCAAGACCUUGCACUAUUAGAGCGGCCGAUAUCGGAUUAGCUAGUUGGUGGGGUAACGGCUCACCAAGGCGACGAUCCGUAGCUGGUUUGAGAGGACGACCAGCCACACUGGGACUGAGACACGGUCCAGACUCCUACGGGAGGCAGCAGUGGGGAAUAUUGGACAAUGGGCGCAAGCCUGAUCCAGCAAUGCCGCGUGUGUGAAGAAGGCCUUCGGGUUGUAAAGCACUUUUAUCAGGAGCGAAAUGCCAUUGGUUAAUACCCGAUGGAGCUGACGGUACCUGAGGAAUAAGCACCGGCUAACUUCGUGCCAGCAGCCGCGGUAAUACGAAGGGUGCAAGCGUUAAUCGGAAUUACUGGGCGUAAAGCGUGCGUAGGCGGUUUGUUAAGUCUGUCGUGAAAUCCCCGGGCUCAACCUGGGAAUGGCGAUGGAUACUGGCAAGCUAGAGUGUGAUAGAGGAUGGUGGAAUUCCCGGUGUAGCGGUGAAAUGCGUAGAGAUCGGGAGGAACAUCAGUGGCGAAGGCGGCCAUCUGGAUCAACACUGACGCUGAGGCACGAAAGCGUGGGGGAGCAAACAGGAUUAGAUACCCUGGUAGUCCACGCCCUAAACGAUGCGAACUGGAUGUUGGUCUCAACUCGGAGAUCAGUGUCGAAGCUAACGCGUUAAGUUCGCCGCGCUGGGGAGUACGGUCGCAMGACUGAWACUCAAAGGAAUUGACGGGGGCCCGCACAAGCGGUKGCAGUAWGUGGUUUARUWCGAUGCAACGCGAAGAACCUUACCUGGCCUKGASAUGUCUGGAAUCCUGCAGARAUGCGGGAGUGCCUUCGGGAAUCAGAACACAGGUGCUGCAUKGCUGUCRUCAGCCUCGUAGUCGUGAGAUGUUGGGUUAAGUCCCGCAACGAGCGCAACCCUUGUCCUUAGUUGCCAGCACGUAAUGGUGGGAACUCUAAGGAGACUGCCGGUGACAAACCGGAGGAAGGUGGGGAUGACGUCAAGUCAUCAUGGCCCUUACGGCCAGGGCUACACACGUACUACAAUGGUCGGUACAGAGGGUUGCAAUACCGCGAGGUGGAGCCAAUCCCAGAAAGCCGAUCCCAGUCCGGAUUGGAGUCUGCAACUCGACUCCAUGAAGUCGGAAUCGCUAGUAAUCGCAGAUCAGCUAUGCUGCGGUGAAUACGUUCCCGGGCCUUGUACACACCGCCCGUCACACCAUGGGAGUGAGUUGCUCCAGAAGCCGUUAGUCUAACCGCAAGGGGGACGACGACCACGGAGUGGUUCAUGACUGGGGUGAAGUCGUAACAAGGUAGCCGUA